rnacentral:rRNA from 1 species
UACGUAGGGUCCGAGCGUUGUCCGGAGUGACUGGGCGUAAAGCGCGCGCAGGCGGCCUGCGAGGUGUCACGUGAAAGCCCCGUGCUCAACGCGGGAGGGUCGUGGCAAACCGGUAGCUUGAGGCCGGUAGAGGUGGGUGGAACUCCUGGUGGAGUGGGUGAAAUGCGUAGAGAUCAGGAAGAACACCCGUGGCGAAGGCGGCCCACUGGGCCGGACCUGACGCUGAGGCGCGAAGGCGUGGGGAGCGAACGGG